AACUGUGUAGCCCUGAGACAAUAGGAUGCCGUCACGACCAAUGAGACUGGCCUGCAGGGGGCGCAAGGAUUCACUUCUCUCUUGGACACUGGCGGGUGUAGACACGGUAAUUAUGAUCCUGGCGUUGGCCGUCAGUGGAAGAGCGUAGCUUAGGUGGGGUUCUGUCUGCCUCUGAUGGGGUGUGGAUGUAUGGUUCGUCACUGGUGAAUGGUGUUCGACGAUGCAGGAGGAUUUUGUGACGAGCGGAUUUACAAUGAGGGAAUGCUGUGAACGGGAAAAAUGAUGGUGAGUGCCUUUUUCACUCUGUUCAAGUGUUCGUUUUCCUCUGUUGCCCAACAGUCGUGCGAAUUUGUCCUGACGUGUCCUGACAUGCCCCGAUAUGCAUGCUUUCCUUUGUUAACGCUUUGUAUUUUGUCUUUUUUUGACAAGGAACAUUGUCGCCUUGACGAUAGUGCUGCCCUGAGUUCUGCGCGCGUUGAUUUGUUGAGUGCCUAGUCCUCUUAUUAGCCGUUGAUGGAGUUACAUGUUAGGAUGUUUUGUUCUUUUGGAAGUCUCAUUUAGUAAGACUUUGGAAUUCCUACGAUCAGUUUUCAUGCAUGGUGCUCUUCUGCAAUAGUUUCCUAUGCAAUCGUUAUAGAAGAAUAAAGGAAAUAAUCUUGGGAUAGUGAUUCAAUAAAUAAUAGGUCCCCUGUCUACAGCGCACGCGUCCUUGAGCCACGCAGGUGCAUGAUGACGUCAUACCGUGGCUUCACUGCAGAUUGACCAAAGGAGCAUUAGUGGAAAAAACAGUGUAGCCCUGAGACAAUAGGAUGAUGUCUGGACCAAUGAGAACGGCCAGCAGGGGGCGCAGGAAUGCUCUUCUCACUUAGCCUCACGACCAAUGAGCAACGAGAGAAGAGGGCGCAGGAAUGCUCUUCUCUCUUAGCCUCUCGCAGGUGGCGGUAGGAGCGCGCAGAGGGCGCUACGAGCGCGCGCAUGCGUAGCACCCGUAGAGUGGCGCUUACGUCAGUCCACCUCUGGCUCUCGUUGGGAGAAGACGUGCGGUCGUUCGCUCCGUCGUCACUUGAUCCCUGGCUGUCGACGAGAGCAGUCGCAUCGGUCUGCGCUCCUACUGUGAGCUGUCCUAACUUGCCCAGACAUGCCGUGAUGACGUCACAGCUGACGUCACAGGAUGUCCGGAACUGGUGGUCAUAGCUGCGAUGCUUUGCAACCUGCCUCUGUGCUCCGUCGCCCAGCGACGGUCAGCGGCCUUUCCGGACCGCUUUCUUCAAGAUGGCGCCGUUGAUCUUCAAUUAAACUCCUUCUCUCCACUCUA